rnacentral:rRNA from 1 species
AGAGUUUGAUUUUGGCUCAGAACGAACGCUGGCGGCGCGUUUUAAGCAUGCAAGUCGAACGGCACGAGGCGCAAGCCUCAGAGAGUGGCGGACGGGUGAGUAACACGUGGAUAAUCUGCCCCUAGGUUUGGGAUAGCCUGUGGAAACACGGGGUAAUACCGGAUGUGGUUAUCUACACACAAGUGUAGGUAAAGAAAGGCGCUUUUUGCGUCGCCUAGGGAUGAGUCCGCGGUCCAUUAGCUAGUUGGUGGGGUAAUAGCCUACCAAGGCGACGAUGGAUAGCCGGCCUGAGAGGGUGGACGGCCACAUUGGGACUGAGACACGGCCCAGACUCCUACGGGAGGCAGCAGCUAAGAAUCUUCCGCAAUGGACGAAAGUCUGACGGAGCGACGCCGCGUGAACGAAGAAGGCCGUGAGGUUGUAAAGUUCUUUUCCGGGGGAGGAAUGAUCGUGGAAUUAACUAUCCGCGAGAUGACGUGAACCUGGGAAUAAGCCCCGGCUAACUACGUGCCAGCAGCCGCGGUAACACGUAGGGGGCGAGCGUUGUUCGGAAUUAUUGGGCGUAAAGGGUGCGUAGGCUGUGCAUCAAGUCUGGUGUGAAAUACCCCGGCUCAACUGGGGGGGCGCGCUGGAAACUGUUGUACUUGAGUACAGGAGGGGAAGUUGGAAUUCCAGGUGUAGGGGUGAAAUCUGUAGAGAUCUGGAAGAACACCGGUGGCGAAGGCGGACUUCUGGCCAUGUACUGACGCUGAGGCACGAAGGCGUGGGGAGCAAACAGGUUUAGAUACCCUGGUAGUCCACGCAGUA